GAUGAAGAACGUAGCGAAAUGCGAUAAGUAAUGUGAAUUGCAGAAUUCAGUGAAUCAUCGAAUCCUUGAACGCACAUUGCGCCCUCUGGUAUUCCGGGGGGCAUGCCUGUUCGAGCGUCAUUAUAACCACUCAAGCUCUCGCUUGGUAUUGGAGUUCGCGAUCUCGCGGCUCCUAAAAUCAGUGGCGGUGCCUGUCGGCUCUACGCGUAGUAAUACUCCUCGCGAUUGAGUCCGGUAGGUUUACUUGCCAGCAACCCCCAAUUUUUACAGGUUGACCUCGGAUCAGGUAGGGAUACCCGCUGAACUUAAGCAUAUCAAUAAGCGGAGGA
rnacentral:misc_RNA from 1 species